GGAGAUUUGUCAUUAUUCAUUCAUUAUGGAGCACAUACGAUGUGCUAAGGCAUCAUUUUGAAGAUGGAACAAUCACUUUCUGGAUCUACACAAUGCCUAUCUCUUCCAUGGGUGAAGAUAAUCCUGAUGAUAGUUGGACCCAAAAGCCAUCUAAGUCCAACAAUGACAACUAUAAGAAAGGGCCAUACAACAAUCUGAUGAAGU
rnacentral:lncRNA from 1 species